rnacentral:rRNA from 1 species
AUUGAACGCUGGCGGCAGGCCUAACACAUGCAAGUCGAGCGGAUGACGGGAGCUUGCUCCUUGAUUCAGCGGCGGACGGGUGAGUAAUGCCUAGGAAUCUGCCUGGUAGUGGGGGACAACGUUUCGAAAGGAACGCUAAUACCGCAUACGUCCUACGGGAGAAAGCAGGGGACCUUCGGGCCUUGCGCUAUCAGAUGAGCCUAGGUCGGAUUAGCUAGUUGGUGGGGUAAUGGCUCACCAAGGCGACGAUCCGUAACUGGUCUGAGAGGAUGAUCAGUCACACUGGAACUGAGACACGGUCCAGACUCCUACGGGAGGCAGCAGUGGGGAAUAUUGGACAAUGGGCGAAAGCCUGAUCCAGCCAUGCCGCGUGUGUGAAGAAGGUCUUCGGAUUGUAAAGCACUUUAAGUUGGGAGGAAGGGCAGUAAGCUAAUACCUUGCUGUUUUGACAUUACCGACAGAAUAAGCACCGGCUAACUCUGUGCCAGCCGCCGCAGUAAUAC